rnacentral:misc_RNA from 1 species
CUAAACACAAAUCAAAUAAAUCAUUUCAUACACGAGUUUUCAAUUCUCAAGUACAUAAGCUCUAAUAACUUUCCAACAAAUAAAAUGAACAAUGUAAUGGCAGUGGUACAAAGAAUUUCAUCAAUCAAUACAUAAUACAUAAAGAAUCAAAGAAUAAUAAACAUAAAACUGCCCCAAAUUCUAUGGACUGAAACCUAGAAAUCUGGUCUGCAAAGAACUGAAAUAAGUAUGAAACUGCUGUACUUCAUACAAAUGGUUCUCGCACUAUCUUAUCUGCAACAAAAGAAUGAAAGUAUAAUGCUUUUGCUACCUACAAAGAAUUUAGUGUCCCUUUCUGUGUGCAAGAAUGGAAUAAAAUUUGAUGGUAUGUAUGAAGAAAAAGAAACCUCCAGCAAUCAACUUGGCUGAGAAAAAGAGGAUCAACUUGGCUGAGAAAAAGAGGAUGAGCUUCCCACAACAUCUAGAGGCGCCCACGCAGAGAUUGUAUAGAGAGGCUGAUCCAACCAACUUAGAGUAAGUGCUGCUCUAUCCUGUCUUUGUUUAACCCUAUAAUCCUCACAAGAGUACAUCUUCAACAACAUUUGGCUUUGCAGCACUUCCCUCUCACUAACUCCCAUGCACCGGAGUCCGCCUUGCUCCAUCAACUUUAUCCACUUCUCAAAACUCUCAUGCCUUUCAAGCCUAUCACUUCCUUCACAAGCAACUAUAUUCCUAAUUUCCCGAGCAAACAUCUCCUCUAUUUUGAUCCUAACUGGGCUGUCUAAUGGAACGCUAGAAUUAAUAGAGUCAAAUAUUGCAGAGUAGUACUUCAAAGAAUUGCACACUCUUGCUUCCAAAUUAGGGGCGUUGUGUUCUGCUUCUUGCUCUGCCAUAAGGAUUAUUGAGGGGUUUGUGCUUCUAAUAAGUCCCAAGAAAUCCCUUAAUGCUCCUCCAUUUCCAUCAUAAAGUGUCUUGUGCAUUUGGAAAAUACAAUUUAUAACAACACACUCCCCCUCCUUCACAUGGAGCAUCCACAGCCUCACGUCUUCUAACCUAUCCACAACUGGAUGGAACUCAAAAUGCAGGUUUAAUGCUUCGGCAAAUCCAGCAAGCCUAUCACCCGUCUCAUUCAGUUCUUGCUUGGACUCGCCUAUGCCUGUGAUCCUAACAUGGCUAGGAGGAUUAGUCCUAGACGCCAGGCUUUGAAGCAAACUAGGCCAUUGAAGCCCUUGCUUUAUGUCGAAGUCUAUAAUGUGAACUCUGUCUUUCCCCUCAAAAGCUCUCAGCAAUAUCUCAUUUGCUGUGAAAUGAAUAAACUUGGGAAUUGGGCUCACCUGAUUCAAAAGCCUCAAUGCUGUUCCAGAAUCAUCAUCAACUCGAUCAAACUCUCGGGGAGUGGUGAAGUGAAAUACAUGAGGCCAAAGCCUUGUAACUCUAAGAGCUAAAGCCUCAGUAUAGUAAGCACUAAGGCGGCUAAAAGCUGUUCCUUUUGGAGAAGCAAGAUCCCCCAAUUUAGCUAUACAAUGGUUGAUCAAUGCCAUAUUUUUGGACCCAAUUGCUUCAACACAUGCUGUAAGGAAGCUAACCAGCUCAAAUGCUUGAUACUCCUGGUGAUUCUCCUCUGCGGCUUCCGCCGUGGUGCCUUCUUGUGGAUGAGGAUUCCUAGAGCCAUUACCUACUUCAUGCUCCACAACUUUCUCGCUUAGCCUAAGGCCCAAAACAUGACUCUCUGAUGAUGGACUUGAGCCCGAGGCUUCUUUUGCCGGCCUUUGGCUACUCUCUCCCUCUUUCUCGCCUAGGUCAGUGAUCUCAGUUACAACAGAGCCCAACCAUGGAUUUUUGGACAAUGGACAAGGUGGCGAAAUCACCUCGCCAGGCACAAAACAGACCCUUUCCUCAUCUCCUGAGCAUGUCAAAGAGAAAGGAGCUUGUGGAGGGUUUAGGGCUCUAGGUACUUCAAAACCUGAUUGAAACCAAAAGUUGCCGCUUCCCAACUGGCCUAAAGUCAAAGUAUCUCCACCUUCAUGAACAUCACCGGAUUUUCCAUUAUCAUUGCUACCCCUUUUUCUCUUAGCCCUGUUAGUGCAAGAGUCAUCAAGUGAACCCUGCUCUGCAAGCCUCUUCAAGCUCUUACCCUUCUCCCAAAACUCAUCUUUCACUGAUUGAGUGCUUGUUGCUAAAGGGGGGAGCCUGAUAUUCUGUUGGAGAGAGCAACUGCUGGCCUUGGAUUCAAGUGACUUAUCAACAGAGAGACCAACACCAACAGGCCUAAUAGGCUGUGACCGCGAGGAUUCUUUGCGAGAGAAGGUACAUGGCAAGUCCAAUCUCUGCGUGCUCAUUGAAGGUAACUGGAAAUGGCAAGCUUGAAACUGUGCAGGUGACUCACUCCUUAAUCUAUGCCUAGGUGACAGCAGUGUAGAACUAGAACACCCCGCCAACAUCCUCUACAGCCUUCCAAUUUCUUUUGUCUGAUAUUUUUGUGCGAUUCACCCACCCUAUUUUCUUCUUUUUCUCUCCCUAUCUCUCUUUGACUCUAUAAAAAAAUUUUGAACUAUGAAACAAAUGGUUUAUUGAGUAUACAGAUACUGUGUUCAGAUGAAAACUUUGUGUGUGUACAUUUAAAAACGGAGAUCAAGAGAGACAGACUAAUGUGAGUGUGAGAAUUUCUUUUAAAGAAUCAAUUAAAAAGAAUAGGAAUCCGAUGAAUGAUAACAGAUAAAAAAAAAUCAAAAUGAAAAGGUUUCUCUAAAAUGUCAAGUGAUCCUAUAUGACAAAUGUGAGUGUAUGGAAUUAAUAAACAACAAAAGAAUAUGAAAAAAUGUAUCCCCAGCCCCAAAACAAUGAAAGAAUUGAAGAGUAAUGAAUCAAACACUUACGAGAAAACAAUCAUCGGAUUCCAAAACCUUCAAAAAUAACUCAUGGGAAAAAGCUAUGAACUCUAUCAACAACGCAAUUCACUUGAGGAUUGGAAAUGUAAAAACAUACUUGCACAAUUUGGUAUCCGAAAUCAACAGGAAUCUUUGGACCCACAUCAGCAUUUGAAGUUUGCAGCAACUCCAUGAUGGCUGAAACGAGAUCAAAAACAAAAACCAGUAGUCCCAGCAUGCAUGAAGAAGUGAUUAACAAAGAGACACAGUUAUCAUCCCUGGACCCUGGCUACCCAAAGAAACCAAAAACCAGUAAAGGAUUGUGUUUUUAUAUACCAAGGUUCUUGCUUCUCUCUCUUUCUCUCUCCCGCUAGCUAUCCCUCUCUCCCACUCUACUCCUUCCUACAACUACUAUACUGCUACUUCUGGUAUAACUUCCAUUGCCGUCUAGAUAUCAUUGCUUUUCUAAAUUCUGUAGACCUGUUCGGUUUUACCCAGCACUCGAAAAAAAAAAUGAUGACUGAAAAAGGUCGUUCGAGAAGACUGG